rnacentral:rRNA from 1 species
AGGACGAACGCUGGCGGUGUGCUUAACACAUGCAAGUGGAGCGACGAACCAGGGCUUGCCCUGGGGCAGAGCCGCGAACGGGUGAGUAACACGUGGGUAACCUACCCCGAUGACUGGGACAACCCGAGGAAACUCGGGCUAAUACCGGAUAUGUCCAACUCUCACGAGGGAGUUGAGCAAAGGAAGCUUCGGCCUCCGCAUUGGGAGGGGCCCGCGGCCCAUUAGCUUGUUGGUGGGGUAACGCCUACCAAGGCUGCGAUGGGUAGCUGGUCUGAGAGGACGAUCAGCCACACUGGGACUGAGACACGGCCCAGACUCCUACGGGAGGCAGCAGUGGGGAAUCUUGCACAAUGGGCGAAAGCCUGAUGCAGCAACGCCGCGUGGGGGAUGAAGGCUCUCGGGUCGUAAACCCUUUCAGUUGGGACGAAGUGUGGGCGGUUAACAGCCGUUCCACAUGACGGUACCUUCACAAGAAGCCCCGGCUAACUACGUGCCAGCAGCCGCGGUAA